GAGUUUGAACCUGGCUCAGGAUGAACGCUGGCGGCGUGCUUAACACAUGCAAGUCGAACGGGGAUGCAUUAAGAAGGAGUGCUUGCAUUCCGGAAGGAUGUAUCUUAGUGGCGGACGGGUGAGUAACGCGUGGGUAACCUGCCCCAUACCGGGGGAUACCACCUGGAAACAGGUGCUAAUACCGCAUAAGCGCACGGGAGCGCAUGCUCCUGUGUGAAAAACUCCGGUGGUAUGGGAUGGACCCGCGUCUGAUUAGCCAGUUGGCAGGGUAACGGCCUACCAAAGCGACGAUCAGUAGCCGGCCUGAGAGGGUGGGCGGCCACAUUGGGACUGAGACACGGCCCAAACUCCUACGGGAGGCAGCAGUGGGGAAUAUUGCACAAUGGGGGAAACCCUGAUGCAGCGACGCCGCGUGAGUGAAGAAGUAUUUCGGUAUGUAAAGCUCUAUCAGCAGGAACGAGACAAGACGGUACCUGACUAUGAAGCCCCGGCUAACUACGUGCCAGCAGCCGCGGUAAUACGUAGGGGGCAAGCGUUAUCCGGAAUCACUGGGUGUAAAGGGAGCGUAGACGGCUGAGCAAGCCUGAAGUGAAAGGCGGGGGCCCAACCCCCGGACUGCUUUGGGAACUGUACGGCUGGAGUGCAGGAGAGGUAAGUGGAAUUCCUAGUGUAGCGGUGAAAUGCGUAGAUAUUAGGAGGAACACCAGUGGCGAAGGCGGCUUACUGGACUGUAACUG
rnacentral:rRNA from 1 species